rnacentral:rRNA from 1 species
GACGAAGGAUGCAAGCGUUAUCCGGAUUCAUUGGGUUUAAAGGGAGCGUAGGUGGCCUUAUAAGUCAGUGGUGAAAUCUCUCAGCUUAACUGAGAAAUUGCCAUUGAUACUGUAGGGCUUGAGUACAGAUGCCGUUGGCGGAAUAUGACAUGUAGUGGUGAAAUACAUAGAGAUGUCAUAGAACACCGAUUGCGAAGGCAGCUGACGAAACUGUAACUGACACUGAGGCUCGAAAGUGCGGGGAGCAAGACGG